rnacentral:lncRNA from 1 species
GAAGCCAGGCCAAGAAGAAUCCCAGGACUGGAAGGCCUUGUGGGACGUCCCAGGUUUGUCUUGUGUCAAUAGCACUGAUACUCAAUCUCCUACUCCCAUCUGUGAGCAUGCAGACCCUACUUGCCUUCCCACAGCCUCCCUUUUCAUAUUUUUCAUGUUUCUUUAGCUCUGUCUUCAAGCCUUGUUGCUCCCGCAAAAAAACCUGCCUCUUCCUCCAGUCCUCCCAAGCAGGGGGAACAGUCCUGACACCUUUCCAAGCCCUGGUCCAUGGACAUUGUGCCCCCUUCUCCCUGCCCAUGGUGACCUGCUCCAAAACCCUCAAGGAGAAGGGAGUGUAUGUCAUUUCCUCCCUGUAAAGUAAAGAUAAUUUUGCAGGGGACUGUGUGGAUGAAAUGACAUGAUGCAUGGAAAUCCCUUAGCGUGUGCCUGGCAUGUAAACUGCAGGUGUCAUCAUUAUUACUGAGGAAUACUGAGUCCCGAACAUGGCUGUCUCAUUGGUGGACUGGGGUCUCCCCCAGGGCAUUCAUCUACUAUGUGUUUAUUGCACCCUUUUUCCAUGUGAGGCACAUGCCAGGGACUGGGCACAUGGUAUGAACAAGACACAGGUCAUCGGUGUCCUCUUGAGCUCCCUGGCUUGGCAGCAGAUGCAUACCUGGGAAGGAUGCUAGGUCAUCCGGGAACUCUACCUCCUUCAAAUCCCUAAGGACUGUGCUCCCAAUCCGCUUACGCUCAAGGAAGAACUGGCAGGACCUGCAGCUAAGCAAGACGUAGGACUGCAAGCUGGGUUGGCACCCUCCCCCUAGGGAGUUCUCCAGGCCUUGCCCCCUCUGUCCCCAGCCUGGAAGCCCUCCCUGGUACCAUACCCCAGCCGAUGAGUAUGUACCCCCAGAAGUACUUCCGCUCAGAGAAGAAGGAGACGGCAAGCAGGGUGUACAGGAAGGCCCAGAACCAGCCUGCUGUCAGGAUCAGAACAAAAGAGGAGGACUGCAUAUGUAUGGACCCACUCCAGAUGGCACGGGGACGGGGGGAGUAGGAAAAGUGGCAUGAUGAGGAAAUGGAGGCACAGACUGAUUAGAAAACCAGCUCAAGGUCAUGUUGCUGAAAUACUUCUAAGGGGCCAGGCGUGGUGACUCAUGCUUGUAAUUCCAAGCACUUUGGGAGGCUGAGGCAGGUGGAUCACCUGAAGCCAGGAGUUCAAGAGCAGCCUGGCCAACAUGGCGAAACCCUGUCUCUACUAAAAAUACAAAAUUUAGCCAGGCAUGGUGGCGGGAGCCUGUAAUCUCAGCUCCUAGGGAGGCUGAGCCAGAAGAAUCGCUUAAACCUGGAAGCUGGAGGUUGCAGUGAGCCAAGAUCACACCACCACACUCCAGCCUGGGUGACAGAGCAAGACUCCAUCUCAAAAAGAAAAAAAAGAAAAAAAGGAAAUACUUCUAAGUUAUGUGAGAGAGUACAUACUGACAUUUUCAAUGGGUACAAUAA